rnacentral:rRNA from 1 species
UACGUAGGGGGCAAGCGUUGUCCGGAAUCAUUGGGCGUAAAGCGCGUGUAGGCGGCUUCGUAAGUCCGUUGUGAAAGUCCAGGGCUCAACCCUCGAAUGCCGGUGGAUACUGUCGGGCUAGAGUGCGGAAGAGGCGAGUGGAAUUCCUGGUGUAGCGGUGAAAUGCGCAGAUAUCAGGAGGAACACCUAUUGCGAAGGCAGCUCGCUGGGACGUAACUGACGCUGAGACGCGAAAGCGUGGGGAGCAAACAGG